rnacentral:rRNA from 1 species
UAACACGUGGAUAACCUACCUAUAAGACUGGGAUAACUUCGGGAAACCGGAGCUAAUACCGGAUAAUAUUUUGAACCGCAUGGUUCAAAAGUGAAAGACGGUCUUGCUGUCACUUAUAGAUGGAUCCGCGCUGCAUUAGCUAGUUGGUAAGGUAACGGCUUACCAAGGCAACGAUGCAUAGCCGACCUGAGAGGGUGAUCGGCCACACUGGAACUGAGACACGGUCCAGACUCCUACGGGAGGCAGCAGUAGGGAAUCUUCCGCAAUGGGCGAAAGCCUGACGGAGCAACGCCGCGUGAGUGAUGAAGGUCUUCGGAUCGUAAAACUCUGUUAUUAGGGAAGAACAUAUGUGUAAGUAACUGUGCACAUCUUGACGGUACCUAAUCAGAAAGCCACGGCUAACUACGUGCCAGCAGCCGCGGUAAUACGUAGGUGGCAAGCGUUAUCCGGAAUUAUUGGGCGUAAAGCGCGCGUAGGCGGUUUUUUAAGUCUGAUGUGAAAGCCCACGGCUCAACCGUGGAGGGUCAUUGGAAACUGGAAAACUUGAGUGCAGAAGAGGAAAGUGGAAUUCCAUGUGUAGCGGUGAAAUGCGCAGAGAUAUGGAGGAACACCAGUGGCGAAGGCGACUUUCUGGUCUGUAACUGACGCUGAUGUGCGAAAGCGUGGGGAUCAAACAGGAUUAGAUACCCUGGUAGUCCACGCCGUAAACGAUGAGUGCUAAGUGUUAGGGGGUUUCCGCCCCUUAGUGCUGCAGCUAACGCAUUAAGCACUCCGCCUGGGGAGUACGACCGCAAGGUUGAAACUCAAAGGAAUUGACGGGGACCCGCACAAGCGGUGGAGCAUGUGGUUUAAUUCGAAGCAACGCGAAGAACCUUACCAAAUCUUGACAUCCUUUGACAACUCUAGAGAUAGAGCCUUCCCCUUCGGGGGACAAAGUGACAGGUGGUGCAUGGUUGUCGUCAGCUCGUGUCGUGAGAUGUUGGGUUAAGUCCCGCAACGAGCGCAACCCUUAAGCUUAGUUGCCAUCAUUAAGUUGGGCACUCUAAGUUGACUGCCGGUGACAAACCGGAGGAAGGUGGGGAUGACGUCAAAUCAUCAUGCCCCUUAUGAUUUGGGCUACACACGUGCUACAAUGGACAAUACAAAGGGCAGCGAAACCGCGAGGUCAAGCAAAUCCCAUAAAGUUGUUCUCAGUUCGGAUUGUAGUCUGCAACUCGACUACAUGAAGCUGGAAUCGCUAGUAAUCGUAGAUCAGCAUGCUACGGUGAAUACGUUCCCGGGUCUUGUACACACCGCCCGUCACACCACGAGAGUUUGUAACACCCGAAGCCGGUGGAGUAACCUUUUAGGAGCUAGCCGUCGAAGGUGGGACAAAUGAUUGGGGUGAAGUCGUAACAAGGUAGCCGUAUCGGAAGGUGCGGCUGGAUCACCUCCUUU